UACGAAGGGGGCUAGCGUUGCUCGGAAUCAUUGGGCGUAAAGCGCACGUAGGCGGCCUUGUAAGUCGGAUGUGAAAUCCCUCGGCUCAACUGAGGACGUGCAUUCGAAACUGCGAGGCUCGAGUAUGGAAGAGGGUCGCGGAAUUCCCGGUGUAGAGGUGAAAUUCGUAGAUAUCGGGAGGAACACCAGUGGCGAAGGCGGCGACCUGGGCCAAUACUGACGCUGAGGUGCGAAAGCGUGGGGAGCAAACAGG
rnacentral:rRNA from 1 species